rnacentral:rRNA from 1 species
UACAGAGGGUGCGAGCGUUGUUCGGAAUUAUUGGGCGUAAAGGGCGCGUAGGCGGUGCGGUAAGUCACCUGUGAAAUCUCCUGGCUCAACUGGGAGCUUGCAGGCGAAACUGCCGUGCUGGAGUGUGGGAGAGGUGCGUGGAAUUCCUGGUGUAGCGGUGAAAUGCGUAGAUAUCAGGAAGAACACCCGUGGCUAAGGCGGUUCUCUAGUACGGUACUGACGCUGAGACGCGAAAGCGUGGGGAGCGAACAGG